AACGCACCUUGCGCUCUAUGGCAAUCCGUAGAGCAUGUCUGAUUGAGUGCCAUGAAAUCUCACACCACAAGCGGUUUUUAUGAAACGGCUUGGCGGACGGGGUCUUGAUGGGCGCGGCUGCCUGUGCUUGACUGCCUCUGUGCACAUCCCGAUUUCACUUCUGGUCACAAAUCAGGUAGGAUCACCCGCUGAACUUAA
rnacentral:misc_RNA from 1 species